CAGGCACGGCAGGCAGGCCACUGGGUGGCAACAACUGACCCCUGCGAAGGAAAUAACAUUUCUGGAGCUCUCCUUGCACUGAGUCAACUCGGACCUGUUGAACUCCGGAAAAGGAAGACACAGACCAUUCCGAAUACGCUUGUUUACUCCACACCAACUACAGAGACUCUCGAAAUAAAUAUGAUUUUGCUGCUAUUCCAACCUAACUGUGCGUAUUUGUGGAUGUUUUGCUAAUCAGCUCUCCAGCAACCUCACAGACUGGCUUCCAACCCUGUGCGCGCGUUCCCAUGGAGACAGAAGAGGAAGGAUCAGCAGCAGCCAGUGAAAGUCUGAUCCACACAGGGCGUGUGCUGAUUCUCACUGCUGAUGCCUCCACAGAGGCUGCACUCCUUCCUGGAGAUCCCCCACCAAAGCCAGGAGAGUGCUGGGCUAUAAGGCAUGGCUGUCUUCAUCGGAGUCAGGACAGUGACAAGGGAUGGCUCUGCCUGCAGAGCCCAGUUCCCUGUGUUUUGCCAUUCAAGCAAUGGAGAAGAGCAGCCAAGGAGGAGUUCAGCAUGGAGAUGUUCACUAAUACAGCUGAGAAGAUGAAGAAUUCCUGCAAUACGCAGUUAUGAAAUGCACAGAAUGGUAACUGUGGUCCCCAAAACUGCAUCGUACACUGCAAAUUUGCUAACAGAGGAGCUCGUAGGUGUUCUCCCCACACACAAGCAAACAACAGUAACUGGGUGAGGUAUAAUUAACUUGAUGGAGGUAAUCAUGAGGUCGUCACAAAAUAUGGUGUGAUGAAAU